rnacentral:lncRNA from 1 species
GCCGAGGUCCUCUUCUAGGAUUGGUUGUCCACUCAUAACCAUAAGAUAAUUAAAACGGGGGGGGGCAGGGUAAAAAAAAAACCCUUUUAUCAGCCAUAGGUUAAUGCAAGUGUUUAACAGAUGCUUCGCUAUUAAAAUAUUUCCCCCCAAUACUGAAGAAUCUUAAACCAGCAACCCUAACAGAGAUUGCGAAGAUUUUCAAAGUGGGGCACCUCGAUUUCUCGAAUCUGUGGUGUGGCGAAUAUCCGUGUUCCUCCUGCUUAACUAGCCUGUUUGGCACAGUUCAUUCUCGAGCAAUUCGUCACCUCCUGGGGGUCUUCUCUUCCCGUCUACAGGAGAGUGUGACUUCAGAAAGAACUUCGGAUUGGCCAAGGCCAUUAAAGCUGGUGAGCGACUUGGAAGUCAUUUAGAAAGGAACAGACCUUCAACCUCAAGCCUUUGCGGGCACUGGGAAAGUGUCUUCCCAAUCAAUCUGGCUUGCAGGCGGCAGGACCAACUCUGACCUGGCUUAUCUUGUACCCAUCCUAAAUACACCAAACUCAAGAGGUAGCCAGGGCCGCCUCAACACCGAGGUCUGAUUCUAUUUAUUCUAAAGACAGAGUUGGAGAUGGGCUACCAUUGGUGUUGAUUGAGAUGACAAGCAGUCACCUGAGCCCAUACAGCUGGGUUCACAGAUGUGGCUAGUCUUGCUAGCCAGCUCGCACUGUGGACAUUCUAGGGAACUGACUGCAGUCCUCAUGCUUGGAGUCAAACACUUUAACCACUGCACACGUUUAUGUAAUAGGAUUGACAUAUGAGAAUCAGAGAAAUGAAUGAAAGAUUAGAGUGGGAGAAAGUGCUUGCUGCCAAGCUUGAUGACCUAAAUUGAAUACCUGGAACCUACACGACAGAAAGAGAGAGCUGACUGCUGAAAGAUGUCCUCAGAUCUUCACAUGUGCACAGUGGCACCUAUCCAACCAUGCACAUAGUAUAUUAAAAAUUAUUUUUUAAAAAA